rnacentral:rRNA from 1 species
CGCGUAGGCGGUCUGGUCAGUCGGAUGUGAAAGCCCCGGGCUUAACCUGGGAAUUGCAUUCGAUACUGCCAAACUAGAAUGUUAGAGAGGGAAGUGGAAUUUCCGGUGUAGCGGUGAAAUGCGUAGAUAUCGGAAGGAACACCAGUGGCGAAGGCGGCUUCCUGGCUAAACAUUGACGCUGAGGUGCGAAAGCGUGGGUAGCGAACA